GUUUUUUGAGGAAGUACAAAAUAGCACCUUUGCUACCUUCUUCCAUGAUGUUUUCUCUCUUGUUACAAUAACUUCUCAGUAUCUUGAAAUCCUCGGGUAGUUGAAAUAGCCAGUUGCUACCGUGGCAGUGCACUGGUGACAACAUUACUGCAAUCAAGACUUCCCAGUUCCCAUCCAUAUGUUGAUCCAUCAACUGGAGAGUCAAGGACUGAUUGGUGCCAAAGACCCUGUGGAUCCCUCAGUUAUGCCCAGUUUCGACUGAUGUCUUACUGUUGGGUGCAGCAGCAGGUGUCAGUGAAGGGAAGGUGCCUACAAUGUGCUGUUGCAAAACAAGGUGCCAUAGGUGCAGUUGGAUUUCUCUGUCCCAGCCCUUCAGGAAUUUCAAUGUUCUUUCCUCUUGCUGUCUACACCUGAUUAUUUUAGCAGUCUCUCAUUUCUCCAUCUUCUUAUUCUUUCCCCUUUUGCUGCUGCUGCCUGCCUAUCUUGCUUCUUGUAAGCACUUCUAUGUCCAGAAAUUGACCAUGUCAGGUGCCAGCUUUCUUCCCAAGGACUGGGAAAGGACGUCAAGCUUGGGAGAAAUGUGGCCAGAGCUGUUAUAAUGCAAAUAAACUUGUAAAAUGGUUCAAGAGGGCAAAGCCAAGCAAAUGGCUAGCAGGUAGAUUGUGCUUUAGACUAGCUUAUUUUGCGCAAGUCAGAUAUUGCAUGUGCUGUACGUGAAGUCUGAAGCUGAUCUGUCUGGCAAACCUACUGAUGUCUACAUUGUCAAAAUACAUGAGACAACAUUUCAUUUCUCCAAAUUUCCAUUAAUUUCAUUGCCUUAUUUUCUUUCUUUUCCUCCUACACCAGGAUGACACUUUUGAAGUGUACUUUUAAGAGCAUAAUUUGAUCGAAUGAUCCAAGGGAACUCCCUAUAGACAUCCACGAUUUAAUGCUAGAUCUGUUCUAAAGGUUGGCAUGUCUGACAAUGGCAAUUGGUUUAACUCCAGUUGAUUUGUAGAUAAUAAAUAUAGUGUGUUU